AGAGCUCAUAGAAUCGGCUAACAAGAAGUUGUGAACAUCUACAGAUUUGUCACAAGCAAAAGUGUUGAGGAAGAUAUCUUGGAGCGAGCUAAGAAAAAGAUGGUUGAUGAUAUUCUCUUCAAAUUCUUGAGAAAUUUGUUUGCUUUAUAGAGUCUAAUAAUGCCUUUUGUUUUCUCUCACAAGUUUUACUUACAUCUCUACAUGUAUCAUUUAGGUUCUUGACCACCUGGUGAUCCAGAAAUUGAAUGCAGAAGGUAGAUUGGAGAAGAAAGAAGCAAAGAAAGGGAGUUAUUUUGACAAGAAUGAGCUUUCAGCUAUCUUGAGAUUUGGAGCAGAGGAACUUUUUAAAGAAGAGAAGAAUGAAGAAGAAAGUAUAUUGAGAUGAUUUCUUUGGAGCAAUUCUUGACAACAUUUGUAGUUGAGGCCUUUAGAAUGGAAGAAUGUAUUUCACUAAUUUUUGUAUACAUUUCUUGUUUUGUAUUUAGUGAUAAAGGAAUC